rnacentral:rRNA from 1 species
AGGACGAACGCUGGCGGCGUGCUUAACACAUGCAAGUCAAGGGGGCCCAGCAAUGGGCAACCGGCGAACGGGUGCGUAACACGUGAGCAACCUACCGAAAUGUGGGGGAUAGCCGGCCUAACGGCCGAGUAAUACCGCAUACGCUCUCGAUGAGGCAUUUCAUUGAGAGGAACCUACGGGACAUUUCGAGGGGCUCGCGGCCUAUCAGCUAGUUGGCGAGGUAACGGCUCACCAAGGCAACGACGGGUAGCUGGUCUGAGAGGAUGGCCAGCCACAUUGGGACUGAGAGUACGGCCCAGACUCCGUACGGGAGGCAGCAGUGGGGAAUCGUUGCGCAAGUGGCCUAACGGCUGACGCAGGCGACGCCGCGUGUAGGAUGAGCUGUGGAGUCGAACUCGUGUUCGCCGGAAC